rfam:Trichomonas vaginalis G3, whole genome shotgun sequence.
AUCAGCUUGUACUUAGGGUCUUUACCUAGGUAGGCUAUCACGGGUAACGGGCGGUUACCGUCGGACUGCCGGAGAAGGCGCCUGAGAGAUAGCGACUAUAUCCACGGGUAGCAGCAGGCGCGAAACUUUCCCACUCGAGACUUUCGGAGGAGGUAAUGACCAGUUCCAUUGGUGCCUUUUGGUACUGUGGAUAGGGGUACGGUUUUCCACCGUACCGAAACCUAGCAGAGGGCCAGUCUGGUGCCAGCAGCUGCGGUAAUUCCAGCUCUGCGAGUUUGCUCCCAUAUUGUUGCAGUUAAAACGCCCGUAGUCUGAAUUGGCCAGCAAUGGUCGUACGUAUUUUUACGUUCACUGUGAACAAAUCAGGACGCUUAGAGUAUGGCCACAUGAAUGACUCAGCGCAGUAUGAAGUCUUUGUUUUCUUCCGAAAACAAGCUCAAUGAGAGCCAUCGGGGGUAGAUCUAUCUCAUGACGAGUGGUGGAAUACUUUGACUCAUGAGAGAGAAGCUGAGGCGAAGGCGUCUACCUAGAGGGUUUCUGUCGAUCAAGGGCGAGAGUAGGAGUAUCCAACAGGAUUAGAGACCCUGGUAGUUCCUACCUUAAACGAUGCCGACAGGAGUUUGUCAUUUGUUAAUGGCAGAAUCUUUGGAGAAAUCAUAGUUCUUGGGCUCUGGGGGAACUACGACCGCAAGGCUGAAACUUGAAGGAAUUGACGGAAGGGCACACCAGGGGUGGAGCCUGUGGCUUAAUUUGAAUCAACACGGGGAAACUUACCAGCACCAGAUGUUUUUUAUGACUGACAGGCUUCGGGUCUUUCAGGAUAUUGUUUUUGGUGGUGCAUGGCCGUUGGUGGUGCGUGGGUUGACCUGUCUAGCGUUGAUUCAGCUAACGAGCGAGAUUAUCGCCAAUUAUUUACUUUGCCGAAGUCCUUCGGUUAAAGUUCUAAUUGGGACUCCCUGCGAUUUUAGCAGGUGGAAGAGGGUAGCAAUAACAGGUCCGUGAUGCCCUUUAGAUGCUCUGGGCUGCACGCGUGCUACAAUGUUAGGAUCAAUAGGACUGCGAGCCUGAGAGGGUGCGCUACUCUUAUAAUCCCUAACGUAGUUGGGAUUGAC